GCUCCGUUGGUGAACCAGCGGAGGGAUCAUUACCGAGUGCAAACUCAUAACCCUUUGUGAACCUAUAUCUGUUGCUUCGGCGGCUCGCUCUCGGGCGAGCCCGCCGGUAAUAUCAGUAUCUCUGUUUGAACCCGACGAUACUUCUGAGUGUUCUUAGCGAACAGUCAAAACUUUUAACAACGGAUCUCUUGGCUCUA
rnacentral:misc_RNA from 1 species